UGUUGCCCGCUCUGUGCCAGUCAACAGCUCUGAGCUUAAUGAGACUCUGGUAAUAACAGCAGGAACUACCACUAUGGCUAUUAAAGCAAGGAUUGUCAUUGAAGGGACUGAGCAAGGUUUUCUCCCUGUUGCUGUUCUGAUAUCAUUUCAUGGCUAUGAAAUUGAAUCCAUUUUGUCUCAUGGAAAUACCAGUUAUGAGAUGAACUCAAAAAUUAUUACUGCAACAAUUUCAAGCAAAAUCAAGAAUGAUCUCAGUCAUCCAGUUAUUUUUACAUUUCUUA